UGGUUUGGUGUAGGUCAGAGUUCGACUCGAAUCUUCAAAUGAAGAUUCGAGAAACUAGGGACUGAUUCGAAGCACAAGGAUAUCAGAUCCAUGUUCAGGGCAGUGGGGUGGUCCUAGGGUGUUAAGGAGGUGGUCACCGGCGUCCAUGUUGUCGGCUUUACGGUGAAGGUGUAUAGGGGCGGCUAGGGUUUCAUAGGGUUCAGGGUUUGGUGAAGAAGAUGAGUGAAGGGGGGUUAGGAUAGGGGGCGGGGUAGCAAGGUUAGGCCUUAUAUAUGCUUUAGAGUUUUAGAUCCUGGCCGUUGGAUCAAGGGAGAUCUAUGGCCAGGAUCUAUUCUUUAGGUAGGACGUCGUCGUUUAGGUGGGAAGGUAGUUAAAACCGGGUAGGGAAAUGGGUCGGAUUAAAUUAACGGGUCUAAAGGGCGGGCCUCGAUCCGUUGGAUCAAAGGGAUUGGACGGCUCAGAUCAAACGCCUUGAACGGCGUCGUUAUGGUUAAAUGGGCGAUCUGAUCAAGACCGUUCAUUUAAAUCAUAUCAAUGGCUCUAAUAGGGAUGCUGAUACGGCAUCGUUUGAGUCAGUGCUUGGGCAGGCCUGGCUUGGACUGGGUCUUGCAUUGGCUUUGGGCCUCAUUUGGGGCCCAAUCCGAUUUCUUCACUUCUUUUUUUUUUCUUUUCUUUUUUUCUGAUUUUAAAAUACAACUAAAUUAAACUGAAUUUAAAACACUCAUUAAUCAACACCUAAACAAUUAUCACACACAUAUUAAAAUUUUAAAAAUGGUUAAAUCAUAGCCUAGAAUAAAAGCUGCAUAUUUUUGUGAAUUUUCUUUUAAAGACCGAAUUAUGGCCCGAUUACACACGGCAUACUUAUUUUGUAUUUUUGUUGGAGAAGAUUCAAUGAAAAAUGGAUAGAAACACAAAGGACUACCAGCACAUGUCACGUAAAAAUUGAAAAUUUGUAUGGCGAGGCCAUUUGCAAUUAUUUUGAUUUCUUUUGGAGUGAUUGUUCGUGAAGCAAAAAUCACGUGCUUACACCCGUUACUCGUUUUUUGGCAUUUUAAGGUCAUAAAACUUGAAUUCCGCCCGAUUCCCAGAUUUUCGUAUGCUAUAACCCACACCUCCUACAUGGGCCGGGGCGAUCGGUCCCCGAUCGCCUAAAACUUUGCUAGCCCAUCAAAAAUGACCUAAGAAAAAAUAGCCACCGCCCACCACAACUGUUACUCGUUUUUUAGCAUUCUAGGGUCGUAAAACUGGAAUUUUGCAUGAUUCCCAAAUUUUCGUGUGCUAUAGCCUAUGCCUCCUGCACGGGCCCCAGAUAUCGGACCCGGAUCGCCUAAAAUAUUCUCGGCCCGACAAAAACAAUCUAAGAAUAAUAGUUACCGCCUCGCCAUUAGCGUUACUCGUUUUUGGGCGUUUUAGGGUCAUAAAACUGGAAUUCUGUCCGAUUCUCAAAUUUUCGUGUGCCUCCUGCGUGGGGCCGGGCAAACAAAUUAGGGUCGCCUAUAAUUUUUCCAGCCCAUCAAAACGACCGAAGGAACAAUAGUCACCGCCUCUCCAUAAUCGUUGUUCGGUUUUUUUGGUGUUUUAAAGCCAUAAAACUGGAAUUCUGCGUGAUUCCUAGAUUUUCAUGUGCUAUAGCCCACACCUUCUGCAUGUACCCAGGCACCAGGACCCGCAUUGCCUAAAAAUUUUGUCAGCCAUUAAAUAUGACCUAAGGAAUAAUAGUCACUGCCUCGCCAUUACCGUUACACAUUUUUUGACAUUUUAGGGCCAUAAAAUUGGAAUUCGCCUAAUUUUCAAAUUUUAAUGUGCCCAAGCCCAUGCCUCCUGCACAUGCACGGGUCCGGGAGCCCGAAUCUGGAUCACCUAAAAAUUUUCAGGCCCAUCAAAAAUGAUCUAAGGAACAAUGGUCACAGCCUCUCCAUGAUCAUUACUCGUUUUUUGGCGUUUUAGGGCUAUAAAACUAGAAUUUCCCCGAUUCCCAGAUUUUCGUGUGCUAUAUAGCCCACACCUCUUGCAUGGGCCCGGACGCCUGAACCUGGAUCGUCUAAAAAUUUUCUAGACCAUAAAAAAUGACUUAAGAAAAUAUAGUCACUGCCUCGCCAUGACUGUUACUCAUUUUUUGGCAUCUUAGGGCCAUAAAAUUGGAAUUCUGCUCAAUUUCUAGAUUUUCGUGUUCUAUAGCCUGCGCUUCCUGCAUGGGCCCAAACAAACGAGCCUGGAUCGCCUAAAAUUCGUCGGCCCAUAAAAAAUGACCUAAGGAGCAAUAGUCACCGCCUAGCCAUGAUCGUUACUCGUUUUUUUGGCAUUUUAGGACCAUAAAACUGGAAUUCAAACCGAUUCCCAAAUUUUCGUGUGCAAUAGCCUGCACCUCCUGCAUAGGGGCGCCCAAACCUGGAUCGCCUAAAUUGCAGGGCCAUCAAAAAUGAUCUAAUGAAUAAUAGGCACCGCCUAGGCAUGAUUGUUACUCGUUUUUUAGCGUUUAAGGGCCAAAAACUAGAAUUCGGGCCAAAAACUCCUAAUGUUGUGAAUUUCAUCUGCUUACCAGAUGGUUAUGUGACUGUACUGUGCUAAACAAUCAUACUCCACUUGUGAGAUUUUUCUGGUUUGUUGUUAUUAUUGUAUAAACAGAAAAUGUAAAUUAAAGAUCUUCUAAUGACAUGAUUAAUGUAAUCUAACCUAUUAUAGUAGUUUUAGUAUAAUAGGAUAGUUACAAUUUUUUUUCAGAUUACUAUUGAGAAUUCGUCAUAAAUAUUUACCUAUAAUUACCUUAUAAAUGACCUGAUUAUGUAAAUAUUUUUAUACCGUCAAUUUUAAGACUAACGGUCAGUUAUUAAAACUAGCUGCUCCACUUUCAAUAUCCUCCUACCAUCUAAAUUGGUAAUUUUCAUGUUUUUGGCCUUCUAGUAGAUUAUAUGAACUGUGUAAGCUUGUUCCUAAGGCAUGUAGUUAAGAAUUUUGCUCGUAAUAUCGCAAGUAGCUAGACCAUCAACACAUGAUUCGUAUGAGUACAAAAGUGUUCAUAAUAAUAUCAGAUCAUACAUCAAGCUGAUCAUCAACUCAUAUUUUUCCCCUUAAUUAUGACCACUUGGUCUUUUUAUAGAUCCACUUCAGAGGAUUACAAAUAUAGUACUAUUACUAUAUACUUGACUUUAAGUUGCUUUUUAGAGCAAUUAUUUAAGUUCUUGAUAUCAAGCAGAACAAUCCAUACAUAUUAACGUGAAAUGGACGUAGGUCGUUUCAAUUAGUAUGGACUUUCGCCUCUAUAAUUACCUGGAGGAUCAUAGUUGCAAGAGACAACAUAUCCUCCAUUGUUACACUGAACCCUAGCACAUCCAACACGAACCGAGUUACGCCAAACCACCUGAGUAUAGUGUCCACACACCUGUCCUUGUGCACAAGUAUUUGAGUCAUGGUCAUAAUACUGUUUCUCAUCGACCCACAUCUCAACGGCCUUAGCAGCCGUCAUGAAAUCGCCACUUCCCUCAGCUAGGUUUUCGCCGUAUUGACCAUGAGAAUGUACGAGGUUACAAUCUGCAGCCAAUUGGGAAGCAUAAUUUUGCGCAUAGGCUGCUACCUGGUCGUCCCAGGUCAAAGGUUCUACACCUACAUCUGCACGAGCUGUGUUAUGGGCAUCCAAAUAGUCUUGUUGAGAAUUUUGGGCACGGCAAGAGUGGGAUAUUACUAGGAAUAAGAGAAGUGUAGAGAC
rnacentral:lncRNA from 1 species